GAGUUUGAUCCUGGCUCAGAUUGAACGCUGGCGGUAUGCCUUACACAUGCAAGUCGAACGGUAGAGGAGCAAUCCUCGAGAGUGGCGAACGGGUGAGUAAUACAUCGGAACGUGCCCAGUCGUGGGGGAUAACGUAGCGAAAGCUACGCUAAUACCGCAUACGACCCGAGGGUGAAAGCGGGGGACUCGCAAGAGCCUCGCGCGAUUGGAGCGGCCGAUGGCAGAUUAGGUAGUUGGUGGGGUAAAGACCCACCAAGCCUGCGAUCUGUAGCUGGUCUGAGAGGACGACCAGCCACACUGGGACUGAGACACGGCCCAGACUCCUACGGGAGGCAGCAGUGGGGAAUUUUGGACAAUGGGCGAAAGCCUGAUCCAGCCAUACCGCGUGCGGGAAGAAGGCCUUCGGGUUGUAAACCGCUUUUGUCAGGGAAGAAAUACUUCGGGCUAAUACCCUGGGGUGAUGACGGUACCUGAAGAAUAAGCACCGGCUAACUACGUGCCAGCAGCCGCGGUAAUACGUAGGGUGCAAGCGUUAAUCGGAAUUACUGGGCGUAAAGCGUGCGCAGGCGGUUCUAUAAGACAGAUGUGAAAUCCCCGGGCUCAACCU
rnacentral:rRNA from 1 species